rnacentral:rRNA from 1 species
UAGGGAAUAUUGCGCAAUGGGCGAAAGCCUGACGCAGCAACGCCGCGUGAAGGAUGAAGGCCUUCGGGUCGUAAACUUCUGUCAGAUGGGAAGAAGGUUUGUAGGUUAAGAGCUAGUGAACUUGACGGUACCUGCAGAAGAAGAUGCGGCCAACUACGUGCCAGCAGCCGCGGUGACACGUAGGCAUCAAGCGUUAUCCGGAUUUAUUGGGCGUAAAGAGCUCGUAGGCGGUUCGGUAAGUCGGGUGUGAAAACUCUGGGCUCAACCCAGAGAGGCCACUCGAUACUGCUGUGACUAGAGUGCGGUAGGGGAGCGGGGAAUUCCUGGUGUAGCGGUGAAAUGCGCAGAUAUCAGGAGGAACACCAGUGGCGAAGGCGCCGCUCUGGGCCGUAACUGACGCUGAGGAGCG